GAAGGGGAGAGGCGAGGCAGAGAAAGGGGAAGAGGAAAGCUUGAAAAGCAUUGUCUUGGGUUAACUGAAAAACCUGGGGUACAAGUCCUAUAGAAUGUGCAUCAGGGCUCUCUGAAGGAGGUCUCGUGCCAAGUCAUUCCCAAAAUUUCUCUACAGUCCACCCUUCAGUCUGGGAGCAGAGCUAUUUCUACUGGACAGUUCCUGGGAGCUGAUGAAUUAGUAUGUCAUUACCAGUGGUUAUAAAGAUUCUAUAGAAUCCUUAAACCUCCUAAGAUGCACAUUACUUACUGAUAGUGCAAUCUCUAUUUCUCCUUUGUCUUCUGGGACUGGUCUCUACGUACCCCAUUACUCACGUCCCUGUGUUAUUCAGGUAUUGUGAUGGGUAUCUAGUUCUAUCAUUCGACCUUGUGGUGUUCCACUAGAAGUAAAAAAAUAAACCCUUUCCCUUUCUUUCCUCAGACAAGCCAUUUGAAAUCCAAGUUCCCAACCUAAAGGGCAAGAAGUUCCCUCUGCAUUCUGGGGUGCUCUUCUUUUCGUCUUGGAAGAAUUAGGGAACAGAAGGAGAUAAGAGAUAGGUUCCAAGUAAUUUAAAAAGUCAGAACCAAGAAGUGAUGUAAGGAAUACCUCUGCACUGGCCCUAAAGCCCUGUUCAUUCACCUUCGUGUUUCCGAUCAUCUGCUUCCAGGAGAUGGGAUUCAAGUUCUGGCUCUGCCACGCAUCUACUGGCUUCAAGAUCCAAGCAAGUCACUUCCCAUCUUGGAGUUUAGAUAGUCACCUAAACUACAGGUCUGUCUCCCUGAGUGUUCUGUAAUGGCCCGGAAGAAGAGAACUCAGCGGAAGAAAGGAAACCUUUUCUCUUCAGCCUUCCUACAAUUACGAGGGAACAACAAUCUGAAUUUCUG